rnacentral:lncRNA from 1 species
GCGAGGCCAGGUAGCAAAGGCUCCUGGUGGGAGUGGGCUCCAGCCAGUGUGGGAGCCGUGGGCAGAGCACACGAGGGGAUAUCUGGAGCCAGGCGUGGAAUGGGGGCAGGGGACCUGGCACUAAGGCAGGUGAGGCCGCGGCAUUCGCUCUGGUUAGGAGUCACAGGCAGGGCAGGAGUCCUGCUGGGUGGGCGUCCUAAUGCUCCCCAGGCUUGCAGGCAAGGAGUGAAGUGCUUGAGGCCCUGCAGGCGGGGCCAGGCUCAGGAUUGGCUGGGAUAGGGAAGCUGCUCUGCAGAGCAGAGUGGCAUUUGGGUGUGGCCCUCUGGCAGUGGCUGUGCUUGCUGGGCAUCUGAGUGCCCAUGUUGGGGGUGGCAGCAGGCCCAAGAGAGAAUUACAGGCUGGAGGUGUGGAUCUGGGAGUCCCCAUAGGCGUGGCCCUGAGACCAGGACCCAGGUUCUUCCAGACCAUUCCCAGGACCACUAUGUGGGUGCAAGUGACACAGGCCCCCAGAGCUAAGUGCCAGCCCUCAGACGCCAGGGCACAUCAGCCCAGGGCCGAGCCACAGUGGUCUCCAGAGCUGAGCC